UACGUAGGGUGCGAGCGUUAAUCGGAAUUACUGGGCGUAAAGCGUGCGCAGGCGGUUUUGUAAGCCAGAUGUGAAAGCCCCGGGCUUAACCUGGGAAUGGCAUUUGGGACUGCAAGGCUAGAGUGCGGCAGAGGAGACUGGAAUUCCUGGUGUAGCAGUGAAAUGCGUAGAUAUCAGGAGGAAUACCGAUGGCGAAGGCAGGUCUCUGGGCUGACACUGACGCUCAUGCACGAAAGCGUGGGAGCAACAGGA
rnacentral:rRNA from 1 species